CGUCUAUAUACGUAUAGCAUAUCAAUAAGCGGAGGAAAAGAAACUAACUAGGAUUCCCUUAGUAACGGCGAGUGAAGCGGGAAGAGCUCAAAUUUGAAAUCUUCAAGGUUUUACCUUGACGAAUUGUAGUUUAAAGAAGUGUUUUCUGUUGUGAAUUUUGGUAAAAGUUCUUUGGAAUAGGACAUCAUAAGAGGGUGAGAAUCCCGUAUUUGACCAUUUCUUCCAGCUGUGUGAUACACUUUCAAAGAGUCGGAUUGUUUGGGAAUGCAGUCCAAAAUGGGUGGUAAAUUUCAUCUAAAGCUAAAUACUGGCGAGAGACCGAUAGCGAACAAGUACCGUGAGGGAAAGAUGAAAAGAACUUUGAAAAGAGAGUUAAACAGUACGUGAAAUUGUCAAAAGGGAAGCGUUUGACACCAGUGUUGUUUUCUCGAAAAUCAAUUAAAAAUGGCGGGAUGUUGUGUUGUAUUGACUUUAUCAGCUUUCUGCACUUUUUUCCUGUCUUUUUUAAUGCACUUUUCGUUUAACAAGUCAACAUCAAUUUCUUUUGUUGUAAAAGGGUCAUUGGAAGGUGGCUUUCUUUUCGGAGAAAGUGUUUAUAGCCUUUGACUUCUGCAAUCGGAGAGAUUGAGGUCUGCAGCGUAGAUCCUUCGGGGUUAGAUACAUUUGUGCUAAGUUAUAGCCUUUCAUAGACAACUUGUUGACUAUGAUCAGUCAUGUAGCUUACUCGCUUAUGUCAUUUUACCUACGCUUAGGAUGUUGACGAUCAGCUGAGCGCG
rnacentral:rRNA from 1 species